AUCACGGGACGGGAGGACCGGGCGACCGACGGAGCGAAACCCGGAGGGCAGCCCCAGCGGCGGGCGCGCCGGGAGAUGCCGGGGCCUUUGCGGAGCGGCAUCUCGCGGCGUACGUACGUCCGUCCGGCCCGGGCCGACGCGCCGGGGGCGGGGAGGACGGGGACGCGACAGGAGUGCGUGGGCGCGUGGUGGAAAAUAGCGCGGUGAUGAUGCGGCGGGGAAAGGGAGGGGCGCGCGGGUCGGCUCAAUGUUUUGUUUCUCCGCUGUGCCGUCUCGAGUGGGACGAGGAGGCGGGGAGACGGCGGGCGGAUGCGUCAAGGGCGACGAAGAUGAUGGAGUUUGUUGCCAUGAGUGGCCUUGCGUGCCUUGCUCGCGUCGGGAGUUUUUCUACUGGUGAGUGAUGGAGUUUUUUUUCGUUUUUUCUUUUUUGAGGAAAGCUUUCCAGUGAUGGAGGGUGGAACAGCAAACCGGAGACGGACCGUGUGCCCCGGAGGAAACAGACUCCGUGGAACGGCUACAACAAUGCACGUGCUGAGACCAUUUGGGGGACGUUUUGCAGCGUCCAGUUAUCACGGUAGGACUUUCUUUUUAUGAAAUAUUUUGAUAGGACUCUCAAAGCCCGUCGCCAUAUAUCUUGGUACGGUGGUGAAUCGGUGACGAAGGUGACGGGGUGCUCUACUCUCGCAUCAGGUGUACACAUGAUCUUAUGACCACACGGGUUUUUGGUAAACAGCCGUCCAAGUGUGGACAUUGUGACCACAUUUGCCCCUUGUCUGUGAGGAAGCACUCUUUCUCUUUGCUCUCCUAUUUUUGUCUCUACUCCUACUCCUUGCUAGUGCCCUUGUGGCUAUUGCUAUCGUUGGGCUAAAAGUAUUCAUGAAACCUCCCAUUCCUAACUACACACUUGGGUGUAACUCAUCAAGCAACCCCAAAUAGUGUGAGAGAAAUAGUGUCUCAUUCGUAGCUCGAUGUGUAGUUGUGUAGGAGGAACAUUUUGAAACAAUAUAUAGCCUAGAGACAGAAGCAAAUGCGGUGGGUGGGAUGCAAUAUGCAAUGCAACUCAUCAAUAAAAGAUACACAUGAGAUUUAAGAUCAUCCCAGAAAGUGACAAAUAUAAAGGCCAUAGGAUAUUUAUACUUGUCAGUAGGGUAUAAAGGCCCACCGCUAAGAACCGUGACGAUAGCCACUCAUCCAAAUCAACAACCGUGACGGCACUGGCACGUUGACUAGGUCCCUGUCACUCACCCCGGGCAUAAAAACUGAAGACCGAAGACCGAAACCGGAAAGACCGAGACCGAACCCGAAAAGACCGAAUUAAAAAAGACCGAAUAAAAUACGGUCUGCAUAAGUAGAAGACCGAAUUAGUUACGGUCUGAUCGGUCCUACUGUCUCUAGGACCGAAUAGACCAUAUAGACCGAAUAGCCCAUACGCAAGAGGCCCAUGUGGCCAGCCCAAUGGUCACACACAACACGAGUACACGUCCUCCUCCUCACAUCACGGUUCACAGGAACGCAUCCGGCAGCCAAUUCACUCCCAUUCCUCUUAUCCUCUCCCACUAGGAACCCUAGCCGCCGCUCGUCGCCCACCGCUGUGGCCCGACGCCCCAUGCCCAUGAGAUGUGAGCCGGUGAUGGCCGCCGCAUCGAGGCGUGUGGCGUGCCCAUGCCGACGAAGAUCGGCGCCCCGAACCCCGACCCCAACCAGUGGAGACCGGUGCCCCAUGCCGCCAUCCUCGACCCUCCGUCAGUCGCUCCACUGCCGACGACACGGCCGUCCGCCGCCGGUGACGACCGCCGCAUCGAGGCGCGCGGCGCGCCCCUGACCGAUGAAGAUCGACACCCCGAGCCAAGGCCCCAACCAGUUGAGACUGGCGCCCCGCGCCGCCAUCCCCGAGCCCCCGUCAGUUGCUCCACCGCCCGCGACACGGCCGUCCACCGCCGGUGCUCCGUGCCCCGAUGACUGGUUCAACAGCUGCAGUCCAUCACCACUGAUCAGCACCCGUCUUCUUCAACUCUGUUCGUCGGCUCGCUGCCUACUGCCCUCCUUCAUUUCUUCACAUCGCAGCUGAAGAGACAAUUGAAGAAUUUGGGGACAAGGUGAAGGGAAAGCACAAGGUCCAUGGUGGUGCCGAAAUUGAUUUGUUUGAUGUCAAGUACUAUGUUAUCAAGUACUAAGUGAUGGUUGUCUGCUGUUUGCUGCUUGUCGAUUCCAAUAUUCCAUGGGCUGUUGUUGCUUGUGGUCUUAUUACUUUGUGUCAAAUAUAAAUGGUGUUGCUUGUUGUCUUC